UUUACCCCUGGAAUUGGGUCCUGCACCACAUCCCUACUCUGUACCAGAGUUGGGUUUUAAUCUCCUGUUUGAGACAAGUGGAUUUCCACCAUCUACAUCCUUUGCUGCCAUGAGGAAAACCUAUGGGAUACACAGCACGUUCCUGAAUAAACACCUGGAGAAAGUCAUUCCUCCUUUUACACUCAAGUGCCACAGGCAAAGGUUUUAAGGAAAAGCUAGAGGGCCUUUAUACUGCUGAACCUUGAUACCCAGAUGCAGGAGGGCUACUGGCAUGUGUAAGUGCAUGUGUUUCCAAGGCCUUAGCACCUCAGAACAUAGAUUGGAAAGGAGCUCAAAGCAAGUCUGUCUAAAGCAGGUGUCUCUCUUC
rnacentral:lncRNA from 1 species